AUUACUCACAUGAAUUGUGAAGUAUGAUGACCGUAAAGGAGAUGAGUUUGAUGAUGGCCAUGACAAGGGCGUCCUAGUUGAGACCUUUUAUGUGGGCUUGUUGUGCUGCUGCUCGAGCUGAGACCUCAUUUUUCCAGUUGGUUUGUAUGUUCAUGUGUGGUUGCUGAUUUGUCGUGUCGUUUCAGCAAGACUUAAUUUUCUAUCAUAUUUCAUGCUUUACAUAUAAAGCAGGAUGAGAGCGUUGGUAUGACGACGAUGACACACCUUUGUCAAGUAAGAUUGAAAUACUGUAAAUAACCUACUUCUGUCCUCAACGGUUAUAGUGAGGUUAUGAAUGUCACAAUUUUUGCUAGUUGUAACAAAUAAUAAAUAGGAUCUGUUUAGGGCACAUCUAGAUAUGCCUACGUAUUGCAUAUCUAAGUGACUCAAUAAACAUAGAAAUAAAACAAAUAUCCAC
rnacentral:lncRNA from 1 species